GGGACAGUAGCUCAACCUGGGAGAGCACUAGACUGAAGAUCUAGGUGUUCCGGGUUCAAAUCCCGGCUGUCCCA
rnacentral:tRNA from 1 species